rnacentral:sRNA from 1 species
UGGUGACUUAUACCUUGCUGUCUAGUUUAAGGAAUUAAAAAUACACAUGCAUGAACCUUGAACAUCAAAUAUCGGAUAAAUCUGUUCAGAUAAGCUUCUUAUGAAUCCUUCAGAUCGAUGCUCUUGAGGAAAACAGUCAAGCUAAACAGCAAUGAUGACUUUUAUGGUAAAGGAUGAGCUGAUCACUAGCUAAGCUACUUAGUCACCAUCCUGGGAGAUGAGCUCACAGGCACCAAGGCUUUGCUUCCUGUGGCCUGCUAGUUACAGUGAAUCAGCUCCAUGGAUUGACAAGGGUACACAGGAUGACAGCAGAGCAAAGGAGUUUGCCAAGUAUUUGUUCUGUCAUUAAGUAUUCAAAAGAACAUAUAUUCUUCUUCAUGGAACGUAACUUUCUAAGAAUGAAAUUUGGGGACUUGAAUGAUUCAAGAUCAAAUAUUAAACAUUAGCUCCUUCACC